CCCUUAGAUGUUCUGGGCUGCACGCGCGCUACACUGAUACUUUCAGCGAGUCCACCACCUUGCCUGGGAGGGUGGGGUAACCUCUGGAAAGUGCAUCGUGAUGGGGAUCGAUUAUUGUAAUUAUUAAUCUUCAACGAGGAAUUCCUAGUAAGCAUGUGUCAUCAGCCCGUGCUGAUUACGUCCCUGCCCUUUGUACACACCGCCCGUCGCACCUACCGAUUGAAUGGUCCGGUGAAAACCUCGGAUUCUUGCUUGAUUCCAGUAAUGGAGACUUGCGAGGAGAAGUCGUUUAAACCUUACCAUUUAGAGGAAGGUGAAGUCGUAACA
rnacentral:rRNA from 1 species